rnacentral:ncRNA from 3 species
AUGACGACACGGGGAGAGACUACUUGAAUGUAGCGCCGAAGGAGCAAGCAAUAAAAUUGUGAAUCUCUCAGGCAAAAAGACUCUUGUUUGACG